rnacentral:rRNA from 1 species
GAUGAACGCUGGCGGCGUGCCUAAUACAUGCAAGUCGAGCGCAGCGGGGACGGGUGAGUAACACGUGGAAAACCUCCUAUAAGGCGGGGAUAACUUCGGGAAACCGGAGCUAAACCGGAUCCUUAUCGCUGGAUCCUCGCUGCAUUAGCUAGUUGGUACGGUAACGGCUAACAAAGGCAACGAUGCAUAGCCGACCGUAGAGGGUGAUCGGCCACACUGGAACUGAGACACGGUCCAGACUCCUACGGGAGGCAGCAGUAGGGAAUCUUCCGCAAUGGGCGAAAGCCUGACGGAGCAACGCCGCGUGAGUGAUGAAGGUCUUCGGAUCGUAAAACUCUGUUAUUAGGGAAGCGGUACCUAAUCAGAAAGCCACGGCUAACUACGUGCCAGCCGCCGCGGUAAUAC